rnacentral:rRNA from 1 species
AUGCUCCCUUCGGCUGGAAUAAUUAAAAUUCUGUGUGAGAGUCUCCAGAAGUUUCCAGUCAAAGCUUUAGUGGUGGAUCCAGUUAUGGUGUCUACAAGUGGAGAUAGUCUUUCAGAUCCAUCUACUCUCACUUACUAUAGGGAUGAACUAUUUGCCAUGGCCGAUAUAGUCACCCCAAAUGUGAAAGAAGCUUCAAAAUUACUUGGGGGUGUAUCAUUGCACACAAUCGCCGAUAUGCGUGAUGCAGCAGAAUCCAUUUACAAAUUUGGUCCAAGAUAUGUACUUGUGAAAGGCGGGGACAUGCCAGAUUCAUCAGAAGCUAUUGACGUAUUCUACGAUGGCAAGGAAUUCGUCGAGCUUCGUGGGCAUCGCAUAAAGACCCGCAACACACAUGGAACUGGUUGCACUUUAGCCUCAUCUAUUGCUGCCGAGUUAGCAAAAGGUUCAAGUAUGCUGAAUGCUGUUCAGGUGGCGAAGAACUUUGUUGAAUCGGCUCUUCAUCACAGUAAAGACCUUGUCAUUGGAAAUGGACCUCAAGGCCCUUUUGACCACCUUUUCAGGCUCAGGUGUCCUCCAUACAAUAUUGGAUCACAGCAAAGGUUCAAUCCAGACAGCCUCUUCCUGUAUGCAGUGACAGACUCUAGGAUGAACAAAAGGUGGGGUCAUUCAAUAGAAGAUGCCGUGAAAGCUGCAAUUGAAGGAGGCGCCACCAUUGUCCAACUGAGAGAAAAGGACAUUGAAUCACGGGCGUUCUUGGAGGCUGCCAAGGCUUGCAUGGAUAUUUGCAAGUCGAGUGGAGUGCCGCUGCUGAUCAACGACCGUGUAGACAUUGCCCUGGCAUGCAAUGCUGAUGGUGUCCAUGUUGGCCAAUCAGACAUUUCAGCACGGGAGGUUCGGAAGCUCUUAGGACCGGGUAAAAUCAUCGGUGUCUCGUGCAAGACCCCUGCUCAAGCCGAGCAGGCUUGGAGAGACGGGGCGGACUACCUCGGCUGCGGCGGCGUCUUCCCAACCACGACGAAGGCGAACAAUCCCACCUUGGGAUUUGAAGGGCUGAAGGCUGUUUGCUUGGCUUCAAAGUUGCCUGUGGUUGCCAUUGGUGGCAUCAACGCGACAAAUGCAGGUUCGGUGAUGGAACUUGGCCUCCCCAAUCUCAAAGGUGUCGCUGUGGUCUCUGCCUUGUUCGAUCGUGAAUGCGUCUCGACUGAGACGAGAAACCUCAGAUCCAUCUUGACGAGUGUGCGAUGCUUGGCGUAG